rnacentral:rRNA from 1 species
UCCGUACGUGAACCUGCGGAAGGAUCAUUAUUG